rnacentral:lncRNA from 1 species
AAAAUUAGAGACUAACAGUAAAUUUACUUUAAUUUUUACGAAUAAUUCUCUAUCAAUGUAAAAAUUUUUCAUAUACGCGUGUAUGAAAGAAAAACACUACUAUUUUUCCACAUUCGUGAAAACUGCUUAACUGGGACAGUAACCGAGCGGCCAGUGAAUAUUUAAAAUACUGUAACCGACGAAUACGUAUGCUUCUAGGACCACGUGGAAUCUUUCCCAUGGUAGGUAAGCAAAACAAAUGUGCUUCCCAGAACCCUCCAAACUGCUCGUGGGUAUAUUACUACAGAUUACAUAAUGCAGCAGCGUUCCGGGACGCAAGCCCAG